rnacentral:rRNA from 1 species
GACGAACCGUCCAAACGUUAUUCGGACUUACUGGGCUUAAAGGGUGCGUAGGCGGCCCUGUAAGUUGGGUGUGAAAUCCCUCGGCUCAACCGAGGAAUUGCGCCCAAUACUGCAGGGCUAGAGGGAGACAGAGGUGAGCGGAACUUGUGGUGGAGCGGUGAACUGCGUUGAUAUCACAAGGAACACCUGUGGCGAAAGCGGCUCACUGGGUCUUUUCUGACGCUGAUGCACGAAAGCUGGGGGAGCGAACGGG